rnacentral:rRNA from 1 species
UACGGAAGGCAGCAGUAGGGAAUAUUGGGCAAUGGGCGAGAGCCUGACCCAGCCAUGCCGCGUGCAGGAAGAAGGCUUUCUGAGUCGUAAACUGCUUUUGAUAGGGAAGAAUAACCAGUACGUGUACUGGGAUGACGGUACCUACAGAAUAAGCACCGGCUAACUCCGUGCCAGCAGCCGCGGUAAUACGGAGGGUGCGAGCGUUGUCCGGAUUUAUUGGGUUUAAAGGGUGCGUAGGCGGCCCGUUAAGUCCGGGGUGAAAGCCCGCUGCUCAACAGCGGAACUGCCCUGGAUACUGGCGGGCUUGAGUACAGACGAGGUUGGCGGAAUGGACCGAGUAGCGGUGAAAUGCAUAGAUACGGUCCAGAACCCCGAUUGCGAAGGCAGCUGACUAGGCUGUUACUGACGCUGAGGCACGACAGCGUGGGGAGCGAACAGGGAUUAGAUACC